rnacentral:rRNA from 1 species
UCAGAACGAACGCUGGCGGCAGGCCUACACAUGCUAGUCGAGCGACGACUUCGGUCCUAGCGGCGGACGGGUGAGUAACGCGUGGGAACGUGCUCUUCACUACGGAAUAGUCCCGGGAAACUGUGUUUAAUACCGUAUACGCCCUUCGGGGGAAAGAAUUUCGGUGAAGGAUCGGCCCGCGUCUGAUUAGGUAGUUGGUGGGGUAACGGCCUACCAAGCCUACGAUCAGUAGCUGGUUUGAGAGGAUGAUCAGCCACACUGGGACUGAGACACGGCCCAGACUCCUACGGGAGGCAGCAGUGGGGAAUCUUAGACAAUGGGGGCAACCCUGAUCUAGCCAUGCCGCGUGAGUGACGAAGGCCCUAGGGUCGUAAAGCUCUUUCACCAGGGAAGAUAAUGACGGUACCUGGAGAAGAAACCCCGGCUAACUCCGUGCCAGCAGCCGCGGUAAUACGGAGGGGGUUAGCGUUGUUCGGAAUUACUGGGCGUAAAGCGCGCGUAGGCGGACUGUUAAGUCAGGGGUGAAAUCCCGGGGCUCAACCCCGGAACUGCCCUUGAUACUGGCAGUCUCGAGUUCGAGAGAGGUGAGUGGAACUCCGAGUGUAGAGGUGAAAUUCGUAGAUAUUCGGAAGAACACCAGUGGCGAAGGCGGCUCACUGGCUCGAUACUGACGCUGAGGUGCGAAAGUGUGGGGAGCAAACAGGAUUAGAUACCCUGGUAGUCCACACCGUAAACGAUGAAUGCCAGACGUCGGGCAACAUGCUGUUCGGUGUCACACCUAACGGAUUAAGCAUUCCGCCUGGGGAGUACGGCCGCCAAGGGUUAAACUCAACGGAAUUGACGGGGGCCCGCACAAGCGGUGGAGCAUGUGGUUU